rnacentral:rRNA from 1 species
UGCCAGCCGCCGCGGUAAUACAUAGGGGUCAAGCGUUGUUCGGAAUUACUGGGCGUAAAGCGCACGUAGGCGGAUUGGAAAGUUGGGGGUGAAAUCCCGGGGCUCAACCCCGGAACUGCCUCCAAAACUAUCAGUCUAGAGUUCGAGAGAGGUGAGUGGAAUUCCAAGUGUAGAGGUGAAAUUCGUAGAUAUUUGGAGGAACACCAGUGGCGAAGGCGGCUCACUGGCUCGAUACUGACGCUGAGGAACGAAAGCAUGGGUAGCGAAGAGGAUUAGAUA